GGCGUUUACUCCACAUUACUCCACAUCAAUUAUAUUACUUUAACACCCAAUUGCAGGCUAUUCUUGCGUAUCCAGAGUGUGUGUUCAAGUAUGCCCUUGGUUUGAAACUAUGUCCCUCAUCGCGGUCUCAUCUCCAAAUAUGGCGUUUGGAUGCAUUAGGCCACAACCAACGACAACCAACAAGCCUGGAAGUGCCCGAAGUUCGAGAGAAGGAUCACUUACGACUUACGAGCUUCACUCUGAUAGCGUUGAGCUCACCAUGAGCGAAGAACGCUUCGUUUGUUCAGAACGGACCAAGCAACGACCAGUGCAAGCGGCUGAGAUGGAUAUCAGUCGAAUCACAAUUCCAGGAGUGAAUAAGUGUGUAUAUAUAGAAUAAACCUUUCAAAAGCGUCAGAGAUUUAUCAAAAGGCCAUAAACUUGACAUCGAGAACCGAGGAUAGCCAAAAGUGGAAUAAAAAAGAGACACGAAACAGAACAUCCCACAACCGCGACAUCAGGCACGUCUAACGAUGCAACCAACUUGGCUCAUUGGCCCUUGCCAAAAGUGCCUACCUGAAUGGGUCGGAAUAAGCAGUCGAUCUGAUUUUUUCCUCUACCUUUAGCACAAUGCAUUUCAUCCGGGCAUGUGGCUAACAUGACGUUAUUUCACUUAGCGGCAUUUUAACGAAAAGAAAAAAAAAACUGACCCCUC